rnacentral:rRNA from 1 species
GUCUUUUUGAUAAUAAUUUAAAGUCUAACCUGCCCACUGAAAAUUUUUGAAGGGCCGCGGUAUUUUGACUGUGCAAAGGUAGCAUAAUCAUUAGUCUUUUAAUUGAAGGCUUGUAUGAAUGGUUGGAUGAGGUAUUAACUGUCUCAAUUUAAUAAAUAAUAGAAUUUUAUUUUUAAGUUAAAAAGCUUAAAUAAUUUUAAAAGACGAGAAGACCCUAUAGAUCUUUAUAUAUUAAUUUUUAAUAAUUUUUUAGUUUAAAUUUAUUUUUAUUUGUUAAGGUAUUGAAUUGGGGUGAUUAAAAAAUUUAGUAAACUUUUUUUUAUUAGUUAACAAUGAUUUUUGAAUAGUUGAUCCAUUUUUUGUGAUUAUAAGAUUAAGUUACCUUAGGGAUAACAGCGUAAUUUUUUUGGAGAGUUCUUAUCGAUAAAAAAGAUUGCGACCUCGAUGUUGAAUUAAAGGUUAAUUUUAGGUGUAGAAGUUUAAAAUUUUGGUCUGUUCGACCAUUAAAUC